rnacentral:rRNA from 1 species
GGACUACCCGGGUUUCUAAUCCUGUUUGCUCCCCACGCUUUCGCGCCUCAGUGUCAGUCUGUGUCCAGGAAGCCGCCUUCGCCACCGGUGUUCUUUCCGAUAUCUACGCAUUUCACCGCUACACCGGAAAUUCCACUUCCCUCUACACGACUCUAGUCGUCCAGUAUCAUAUGCACGUCCCAGGUUAAGCCCGGGGGUUUCACAUACAACUUAAACGACAACCUACGCGCCCUUUACGCCCAGUAAUUCCGAUUAACGCUCGCACCCUCUGUAUUACCGCGGCUGCUGGCAC